UGGGGAAUAUUGCACAAUGGGCGCAAGCCUGAUGCAGCCAUGCCGCGUGUAUGAAGAAGGCCUUCGGGUUGUAAAGUACUUUCAGUCGGGAGGAAGGUGGUAAGGUUAAUAACCUUAUCAAUUGACGUUACCGACAGAAGAAGCACCGGCUAACUCCGUGCCAGCAGCCGCGGUAAUACGGAGGGUGCAAGCGUUAAUCGGAAUUACUGGGCGUAAAGCGCACGCAGGCGGUUUAUUGAGUCAGAUGUGAAAUCCCCGGGCUUAACCCGGGAAUUGCAUCUGAUACUGGUCAGCUAGAGUCUUGUAGAGGGGGGUAGAAUUCCAUGUGUAGCGGUGAAAUGCGUAGAGAUGUGGAGGAAUACCGGUGGCGAAGGCGGCCCCCUGGACGAAGACUGACGCUCAGGUGCGAAAGCGUGGGGAGCAAACAGG
rnacentral:rRNA from 1 species